CUCAGGGAAACGCAGGCAUGCACAUGCAUAUUCAUCGGCUAACGCCACAACACCCACAUGUAUAUGUCGUUACCAGCUUCAGCUGCUUGUCUCGUCUUGCAAGACGACGAAGCUUUUGCAUUGCUUCACAGCUAUAGCUAGCAUCAUGUAGCAGGAGGCCAGGGAGCUCUCUCUCUCUCUCUCUCUCUCUCUCUCUCUCUCUCUCUCUCUCUCUCUCCUACCUCCGGUGUAGUUCUCCUCUUUCUCCAUCCAUGCAUGCGUCACCGUGUUCCGUGCGUCAUCUCGUUGCCAGCAGCUCGAUCGUGUGCUCAACUGCACGCAUGCUCACCGAUCGAUCAGUUUAUAUAGUUAGCAAGCGGCCGGCAGGUGACGCAAUGACUGGCUAUGUACGUCCAUCACCGAUCAGCUAGCUCUAGCUGCUGCAUGCGUGCAGUUCGCCACAUAUAUAUGUAUACUACGUAGUAUGAUCAUCUGAGGGCGCUUGCAUGUGGGGAUGAGGCUGUGCGUUUCGUUAUGUAGCCAAGGAUGACUUGCCGGCCGACAUAUGCCUCUCUCGUUCGUCCCUGACCGGCCGGGAAACACAUCACGCCGCAUGCAUGCAUGCAUGCAUAUGUGUGUACGUACUACGUGUGCAUGCAUGCAUGUGCUGCCGCGCGCAGCAAACUGCGAGGAAUCGUCCGUCCGGCAGGUUCUUCUCUUUGGCUACACGAUGGCCUCGUCUUCUCAUGCAGGGCCUUUCAGAUGGUGUGUGUGGUCCGGUCUCUCAGUCAGUCGUCCUUCUGUGCUUUUUUUUUUCUGGGUGUUCAGUUAGGCUAAAGAGGUGGUAGUAGAUCGAUCAAGGUAAGCAGCACAGAAGCUCGCGCGUUUCUGGAUCGUCCAAUCAAUUUUGUUCGUGUGAUAUGCGCUUGUUCCUUUGAGUUUUCUUAUUAUAUGUGGCAGGGUACGACCGCAGUCCAGGGUGCAGUGCAGUGGGUGGUUUGCAGGGAGCUCUGCAGGUUUUCGUACGCACGAGAUCGGAUUCAUCAGAUGGAUGCUCUGUGGAGUUUCCAUUCCCUCAGACGUGUACGGACUACGGAGAGUCUCCUUCGCCGUCUUUCUUUGUUCUUUGCGCGCCGUGCAAGGAGCCGGAGAUGACAGUAGCAGAGAAUGGAGCGGUGAUGAUAAUCCAAGUAAUGAGGAUCCCCUGGCCGAUGUACAUU